rnacentral:misc_RNA from 1 species
AAGUCGUAACAAGGUUUCCGUAGGUGAACCUGCGGAAGGAUCAUUACCAGAGGAACAGGCGGCACCCCGAGCGGGUGACGCCCACGUCCCACGUCCAAGGUGAAUUUCGUCCCCCGUUCCUCCGGCGGGGGGUGCGUCCGGCCAAGCCCGGGUGCGCGCCCCUGCCGGAAUGACCUUACAACGCAACCUGUCCGUCUGUUCAGUCCGAAGUCUGUGGGUUUGGAAAUCAAUCAAAACUUUCAACAACGGAUCUCUUGGUUCUG